AAUCCUGUAGUAUAAAAAUAAUGUUAAAUUGCAAAUUUAAAGAUGUGUUAAUCACUAGGAU
rnacentral:tRNA from 1 species